rnacentral:tRNA from 1 species
GGUUGUGGCUCAGUGGUAGAGCAAUCGCCUAGCACAUGCGAGGCCCUGAGCUCAAUCCUCAGCACCA